rnacentral:lncRNA from 1 species
UAUUCAUUCACCAAACACAAAACAGUUCCCAUUCUUGCAAAUGGCUACCAAAGUUUACAUUGUGUACGUUCUUUAUACUUUCUGUUUAGUUCUUUAUUUUUUUCCAUUAUAUAUUUUUAUGGUUCUUGAAAGUUGGAAAGUCCCCUGCUUCUUGUUUUAUCCUUCUAAAUUUUAAAUCACGAUCUUGAAGAUAUUUUACAUUCAGACUAAAAAAUAGAGAAUGGGAUUGUUGGGUCAUAUGAAGUCCUUAUAUAGGUUCUUGAUUUUGUGAUUUAAAUGAACUUGACAUCAAGAAAUUGAUUAUUUUUGUUAUUUAUCGUUGCCUGAAAGCCGAUUCAGGUUGCAUUAUGAACUGUGGCUUCUAGAGUAAAUCCCCAUAUUAAAUCUCUGUAAAAUUUUGCGAUGUGUUUUCCUUCUUAUUGACUGUGUGCCAAAGUAAUAUUUUUCUUUAUUGAACUGAUGGGGUUUUCUAUCAAUAUUCUGUAAAAAUUUAGGACUUUGCUAGUUGUAAAGUUUUCUUUACACCUUUGUUGAUGGAUGCUGAGGUGUCAUACAUUUUGACCCUUGAUUUGAAUCUGUCAACAAAGGUGGAAAACAAUUUCUGUACAAGUAGCUUAAUUGAUCAUUUUAAGUAACAUUGUUGAUGUGCAAGAUUAGCCAUGACAUUUAUUAUUAUUAUGUGCUAAUCGCUAUAAGAUUUGCAUCAUGUUGGAUCUUGCAUUGUGUUCUUGCUCUUAUAAUUGUAUCUAGUAGUUCGAAGACAUGGACGCAACUGUUUAUUGGCUUGUUCUAUUGAUGGUAUCAUAUCCAUUCUUGCAUCAAUUAAAGCUUUGAAAGUAAUAGAUUGUGUAUUUGACACAACUUACCUAUUGACAUCUCCAGUCGUACAAAUUUGCAGCUAACGAACUUCAAUUUAUGAUGCAGAUACUAUUCUAUGUAUGGACAUGUUGAGCGAUUAGCUCAGGAGAUUAAAAAAGGAGCCGAAGCUGUUGACGGAGUAGAGGCCAAAUUAUGGCAGGUUUGUUAUUAUUCUUGUUCUAAUUGUUCAAUUAUUAACAGAAGAUUCUGAUGAACAAUAUCCAAUGUAAGUCUUUGUUAUUGCUUCUUCUGGGAUGCACAAGAGAUAGAUACUGAUUAGUUUCAUAGUUUGGCUGCAAAGUUAAUAUUCAAACAUCGUUUCUUAGAAACAAAUUAUUUUAUAUCUUACCAUAAGAACCUUUGGGAUAAAAAAAAAAAAAAA